rnacentral:rRNA from 1 species
CAGUGACGUGAGUUAAACGGCCGCGGUACCCUGACCGUGCUAAGGUAGCAUAAUCAUUUGCCUCUUAAUUGGUGGCUAGUAUGAAUGGACACACGAGAGCCUCGCUGUCUCACUAAUAUAAAUAAAAAUUAAUCUUCAGGUGAAGAAACCUGAAUUCCAUAAAAAGACAAAAAGACCCUAUGGAGCUUUAUUUUACCCUACCACCGAGCCAUAUUCAUAAAAUAUACCUUGGUACUACAAAAUUCAGUUGGGGCGACUAAGGAAAACUAUAAAUCUUCCUCCACAUAUAAGAAAAUGAUUCUCCCCAAAAUCCGCAACUGCGAAUAAAGAAUCAGCUACCCUAGGGAUAACAGGCUAAUCCUUCUCGAGAGCCCAAAUUGACAGAAGGGAUUGGCACCUCGAUGUUGGCUUAGGGUACCGACAAGAUGCAGAAGUCUUGUAAGUAGGUUUGUUCAACCUUUAAAACCCU